rnacentral:rRNA from 1 species
UGAGGAAUAUUGGUCAAUGGGCGCAAGCCUGAACCAGCCAUCCCGCGUGAAGGACGACGGCCCUAUGGGUUGUAAACUUCUUUUGUACGGGAAGCACGUGCGCUAUGUAUAGCGUAUUGACGGUACCGUACGAAUAAGCAUCGGCUAACUCCGUGCCAGCAGCCGCGGUAAUACGGAGGAUGCGAGCGUUAUCCGGAUUCAUUGGGUUUAAAGGGUGCGUAGGCGGCCCGGUAAGUCAGCGGUGAAAGUUUGCGGCUCAACCGUAAAAUUGCCGUUGAUACUGUCGGGCUUGAGUUCAGAUGAAGUGGGCGGAAUGAGUAGUGUAGCGGUGAAAUGCUUAGAUAUUACUCAGAACACCGAUUGCGAAGGCAGCCCACUAAACUGCGACUGACGCUGAUGCACGAAAGCGUGGGGAUCGAACAGG